GGAGAUGUGGCUCAGUUGGUAGAGUUCCUGCCUUGCAUGCAUGGAGCCCUGGGUUCCAUCCCCAGCACCUCAU
rnacentral:tRNA from 1 species